AUGGCCGGCAUGGUCCCAGCCUCCUCGCUGGCGCCGGCUGGGCAACAUUCCGAGGGGACCGUCCCCUCGGUAAUGGCGAAUGGGACCCA
rfam:Hepatitis delta virus genomic RNA, complete genome.